UUAAGUUCAGCGGGUAGUCUUGCCUGAUUUGAGAUCAUUGACGGUGUGCAGGUUGGUCGAUCAACAGAAAUGGCUUCCCUCUCACGAGCAACCCGUGCCUGAAUUCAAGACGAUCAGUGAUGAAGGUCCAUGUCUUGACCAGCACGGACCAGCAGCCAGGCGGAUGCAUGACCCAGCGGAUCAAAGGGAUGAAUGAUUCU
rnacentral:misc_RNA from 1 species